rnacentral:rRNA from 1 species
GCACAAGCGGUGGAGCAUGUGGAUUAAUUCGAUGCAACGCGAAAAACCUUACCUACCCUUGACAUGUCUGGAACCUUGGUGAGAGCCGAGGGUGCCUUCGGGAGCCAGAACACAGGUGCUGCAUGACUGUCGUCAGCUCGUGUCGUGAGAUGUUGGGUUAAGUCCCGCAACGAGCGCAACCCUUGUCACUAGUUGCCAUCAUUUGGUUGGGCACUCUAAUGAGACUGCCGGUGACAAACCGGAGGAAGGUGGGGAUGACGUCAAGUCCUCAUGGCCCUUAUAGGUGGGGCUACACACGUCAUACAAUGGCUGGUACAAAGGGUUGCCAACCCGCGAGGGGGAGCUAAUCCCAUAAAGCCAGUCGUAGUCCGGAUCGCAGUCUGCAACUCGACUGCGUGAAGUCGGAAUCGCUAGUAAUCGUGGAUCAGAAUGUCACGGUGAAUACGUUCCCGGGUCUU